GAUGAGUUACUACUAUCGUUACUAAAAUGUUAUUCCGAUGGGAACUAGGUAUGCAACCAACUUUACAAGCACUCGUAUUAGAGGUUGCAGUUGAUAGACGAUAAAGUUGGUAAUAUCUGGUAGAUUAGAGUCUAGCAGUUGGCAAUGACGAUAUCCGGCAGGGGUGUAUGUCAUAUCGGCCAUAGCGGCUGGCACUUCACUUGAAUUUUCGUUCUUGUCCGAUCAAAAAGUCCUCCGGUGGCCAUUGUAAGAAUUUACCUUUUUGUUGAAAUAAGUUAUAAGAAGAUUAAUUUACGUUGGAGGAAGUUUUUAUUUUUUUGUUUGGGGUUGUGAAGAGUUUUUGGUUCCAAUAUUUUUUGAAGAAAACAAUGGGUAUGUAUGAAAAAAAAUAUCACUUAACUAUGGUUUGCCAUUUCUUUUUCAUGCUAAGAAAAAAUAACCAUCUAAAUCAUUUUUAAUACCAUAUUUAGAUCAUAUGAAAAGCAUUGCUAUUCUUUAAUUAUCACUUUUUCAAUACUUCUAAUAUACACUCACAGGAAAAAAUAUUCUUAGAACUACAUUUUCACUCUCAAAUAAAUUGAAAAUCAAUGAUAAUUUUCAUUCUAUCAUGUAUAUAACUCCAUAUAGUAAUCUUUGAUUACAAGAUCCACAUUUUUUUUGUCCAAAUACUUCCUUAUAUUCGUUUAAAAAGGCUUUUUCCAGUCAAGAAGAAUCAAGGUCAAUGAAAACAUAUACAUCAAACCUCACUUUUUCCGUAUUUUUUUCUCUGUCAAGUUCUGAUAAGGUGAAACACCUUUUUAUAGAGGCCCUGUUUCUUAGAUACUUAAGGAAAACCAGCUAAUAGAAGGUUUUCUGUUCUUUUAGCCACUGGAGGGAGACUAUAACAAAAUUUAAGUCACAUUUGGAUGCUUCAUUUAUUUAUGGAAUAAACAAUCAUUUUGGUAUUAUUUUGGGUUUGGAUUGGAAGAGUUUUGGAUGUUUUUUUUUCGUUUCUGGAAUAGACACUGAGUUCUACCGACACUAGCAAGUACCUCCUCGUCAAUACUCUGUGUUGCUGUUCCUUACCUCCCGAGGAUUGGGAAGAUCGGAGGAUACGUACCUGGCUCUCUCAUCAUCAACCUCACCAGGAUUUUGGAGAAGCCACAGGCCUACUUUUGUAGAAACGCCAGGUUUUUAUAAUAAAAUUUGAAUUUUCAAUCCUUUUAAAUAAUAGUUUUCAAUUUUCAAUUUUUUUUCAAUAACUCAAAUACAUAACCUUAAUAAUAAUAUAAAUUCACCUUCUUAAACCAUAUUAUCUUUAUAAUAUUCAAUAAUUUUUUUUUGUCAACGAAUUUUAUAUUUCAUUUUCAUGAUUGUAUCAGGUAUUUAAAAUAAUCUCAGGAUUGUAAACUAUCUGGGACGAUACUGUGCACACUAUCGAAGGGUUUAUUUCCUACUCAAUAAUAUUUAUUCCAUUCACCAGAUAUUGUCAGGUUGUCACUUCCGAUCAGAUACGGGAUUGUCAGCCAAUCUUGUAUUCUACAGUAAUAAUUAGUUUGUACAUGCAUAUUUAGAUCAAAUCACUUCCUUAGUAGAAUAAAUUCAUUACGUAUAUUAGUUUUUUCAUACUGUAAAACCUGCAUUAUCGACAGGAGUGUACUACCAUAGUACGUCGGAUAUUUAGCUAGUGUAUAAAAUUGUAUAUAGGGUUUAUAGGUAUUUUUUUUAUUAAAUGUGGUUGUACAUA